AUUGAACGCUGGCGGCAGGCCUAACACAUGCAAGUCGAACGAGUGGCGGAAGGGUGAGUAAUGUCUGGGAAACUGCCUGAUGGGGGGGGAUAACUACUGGAAACGGUAGCUAAUACCGCAUAACAUCAGAUGUGACCAGAUGGGAUUAGCUAGGUGGUGGGGGAACGGCACACCAAGGCGACGAUCCCUAGCUGGUCUGAGAGGAUGACCAGCCACACUGGAACUGAGACCCGGUCCAGACUCCUACGGUAGGCAGCAGUGGGUAAUAUUGCACAAUGGGCGCAAGCCUGAUGCAGCCAUGCCGCGUGUAUGAAGAAGGCCUUCGGGUUGUAAAGUACUUUCAGCUGGGAGGCGUUACCCGCAGAAGAAGCACCGGCUAACUCCGUGCCAGCAGCCGCGGUAAUUC
rnacentral:rRNA from 1 species